AAGAAAUAUCUUAUAUACUAGGCCUGCUAAUUCUAGUCCCCAAAAUUAAAUCUUUGGAUUUCUUA
rnacentral:tRNA from 1 species